rnacentral:rRNA from 1 species
CACUCCUACGGGAGGCAGCAGUGGGGAAUAUUGCACAAUGGGGGAAAACCCUGAUGCAGCCAUGCCGCGUGUGUGAAGAAGGCCUUCGGGUUGUAAAGCACUUUCAGUAGGGAGGAAGGUAGUGUAGUUAACACCUGCAUUAUUUGACGUUACCUACAGAAGAAGCACCGGCUAACUCCGUGCCAGCAGCCGCGGUAAUACGGAGGGUGCGAGCGUUAAUCGGAAUUACUGGGCGUAAAGCGCAUGCAGGCGGCCUGUUAAGUCAGAUGUGAAAGCCCCGGGGCUUAACCUCGGAAUUGCAUUUGAAAACUGGCAGGCUAGAGUCUUGUAGAGGGGGGUAGAAUUUCAGGUGUAGCGGUGAAAAUGCGUAGAGAUCUGAAGGAAUACCAGUGGCGAAGGCGGCCCCCCUGGACAAAGACUGACGCUCAGAUGCGAAAGCGUGGGGAGCAAACAGGAUUAGAUACCCUGGUAG